CUUCCCGCUCCGCAGCGCGCGCGCGCGCGCGCCCGGGGAUUAGCCAGGUCUGAAGGCAUCGCCCUCUUCCUGGGGCAAUUGGGGCUGCCUCCGACCCGGCUGCAGGUCUCUGCUUCCUUGCUGGAGCUCCGCGACAAGGGUGCAGGGGAUUCCUUCUGCUCCCUUCAGGGGACACCCUGGCCCCAGAGAUCAUCAGAAGCCCUCCUGAAAAAGCCCCCCUCCUCAGGAAAGUGGGAGAACGGCUACAAGGAGAAGGGCCUUCUCGGCAGUGGCACCCUGACUUUGGAACCAGCUCUCCGGAAAAGUUUGCCAGGCGCCCUCUUUGUAUUCUUUUUGGCAGCAGGCAAAGACCUUUUUAUUUUCCCCGAUAUUUUAAUUGUUAGAAUGAUUUUAAUGGUUUUAAUAUAAUAAUAUUUUACAACUGGUUAUAAACGCCUAUUGUGCCUUUUAUGUUCUUCUUGGAUAAUCUGAGUCUGUGAAAUUUUACACUGGUGCGGUUUUUACUUGCUGGAUUGUCAGAUUUUAUUGUUGUUUAAUUAUACCUUUACUGUGCUAUUUUGUAACCUGCCUAGGGAGUCGUAUGGCUAAUGGGCAGGAUAAAAAUCUAAUAAAUAAAGAGAACAAACAAG